AGGGCGGGUACUUCCUGUUUUAAUACUUUUUUAAGGUUAACUUUUCCUUCCAUAGGUUCCUGUGUUAUUUCUCGUCGAAAAGGAAUAGUUUAUCUAUAUUAUCAUUUUAUGAGAUCUUUCGAUUUAGCUAAUAUGUAUUGCGUUCCAAACUUCUGUUAGAGCUUCUAAUGAUACUACUCUAACAUCGUCACAUCCAUCAUCAAGUCUUUUCAAAAGUAUUGGAUAUAUUUUAUGUAUGUAUUCUUCCGUGAGGUGAUCAAACUGCUUCCGGAUACACAUUAUUAAAUACAUAGCUUGCAAAGAAUAAAAUCUACUUGUUUUAGAAUUAUCAUCUGCAAGACUAAUUAAGACAGGAAUUAUUUGAUCAAAUAUUAAACAAAUAUUUUCUUCAUCAUGAUUUGUAAUUCUCUCCAUAGCAGAGUCUUUUUCAUAUUUAUUUAAAAACGAACAUAAACAAGUUACUGCAGCGUCUCAAUUCAGGAUCUGCAUCAUCCGUCAGAGUUUGUUUUAGAACUGGUAAAAUAAUGUCCAUAUUAUAAGCAAAAGUUUGCCUAGCAUAAGUUAAACAUGCACAAAAAAUUUGAGAUUCUGGAUCAUGAAUUGACCAUGAUUUAUAGUCAGAAAAUGUUGAAAAUAAUUGGCCAAUGUAUUUAUGAUAUAACUCUCCGACAUUAUCAAGUGAAUUAAUGCUAGCAAGUAUACUUAGUAAUUCUUGUGCUUUUAAAUUUAUCAGAUUUUCUUGUGUCAUAGAUAAAACGGUGAAUAUUAUUAUAAAUAAUUCCUUUGAUAUAAGUUUGCAAUCCUAAAAUUUGUUUAAUAUAUUAGCGCAAGAAAUAACAAAAUUAAUGAUGUAGAUAUAUAUAAAACAAACCAUUUUGCAUACUAAAAGUAAAGAAGAACAACAAGAAAGUAUUUCUUUUUGAUAUGCUCCUUUUUUACUUUGACAGAUAUGCGAUUGUUGUAAGAAUUUUCCAAUAUCUUCUAAUAAUGGAAGAAGUGUACACUGUUCACUACCUUUUAAAACUGCAGAAAAUACUUUUAAAUGACCUACGGAUGGAGCGUCUUCAAUAGUAGGGAUUAUCAAAUGACAAUAGAUUUUUGGAGGUACAAAAUAUCCUAAAUAUUCUGCAGCUCUUUCUACAUUUUCUACAACCCUGUUAUCUUCAUCAUUACAAGCACUAAUAAAUAAUUAUUAGUCAACAGUAUGAUUAGUUAAAUAUUAAUUUGACAAUGUAUAUCUUAAUACUAAUACAUUUACCGAUACAUAGGAGGUAAGAGUUUUCCAAUAUGCUGUAUUAUAUCUUCUUCUAUGUUUAAAAUAAACACACAAAGUAAUUGUGCA